rnacentral:rRNA from 1 species
CCUACGGAGGACAGCAGUCGAGAAUCAUUCACAAUGGGGAAACCCUGAUGGUGCGACGCCGCGUGGGGGAAUGACGGUCUUCGGAUUGUAAACCCCUGUCAUGUGGGAGCAAAUUAAAAAUAUAGUACCACAAGAGGAAGAGACGGCUAACUCUGUGCCAGCCGCUGCGGUAAUACAGAGGUCUCAAGCGUUGUUCGGAAUCACUGGGCGUAAGGCGUGCGUAGGCUGUUUCGUAAGUCGUGUGUGAAAGGCGCGGGCUCAACCCGCGGACGGCACAUGAUACUGCGAGACUAGAGUAAUGGAGGGGGAAACGGAAUACUCGGUGUAGCAGUGAAAUGCGUAGAUAUCGAGAGGAACACUCGUGGUGAAGGCGGGUUCCUGGACAUUAACUGACGCUGAGGCACGAAGGCCAGGGGAGCGAAAGGGAUUAGAUACCCGGGUAGUC